rnacentral:rRNA from 1 species
GAUACUGCCGUGCUAGAGGAUUGGAGAGGGUAGCUGGAAUUCUUGGUGUAGCAGUGAAAUGCGUGGAGAUCAAGAGGAACACUCGUGGCGAAAGCGGGCUACUGGACAAUAUCUGACGCUGAGGCUCGAAGGCCAGGGUAGCGAAAGGGAUUAGAUACCCCUGUAGUCCUGGCGGUAAACGGUGCACGCUUGGUGUGAGGGGAAUCGACCCCCCUCGUGCCGGAGCUAACGCGUUAAGCGUGCCGCCUGGGAAGUACGGUCGCAAGACUAAAACUCAAAGAAAUUGACGGGGACCCGCACAAGCGGUGGAGUAUGUGGCUUAAUUCGAUGCAACGCGAAGAACCUUACCAAGGCUUGACAUGCAUCUCUAAGCACGUGAAAGCGUGUGACCCGCAAGGGAAUUUGCACAGGUGCUGCAUGGCCGUCGUCAGCUCGUGUCGUGAGAUGUUGGGUUAAGUCCCGCAACGAGCGCAACCCCUGUGAUUAGUUGCCAGCGCGUGAUGGCGGGAACUCUAAUCAGACUGCCCAGAUCAACUGGGAGGAAGGUGGGGACGACGUCAGGUCAGUAUGGCCCUUACGCCUUGGGCUGCACACGUACUACAAUGCCCGGUACAAUGAGAGCCGAUACCGCGAGGUGGAGGAAAUCUAAGAAAACCGGGCCCAGUUCGGAUUGGAGGCUGCAACUCGCCUCCAUGAAGUUGGAAUCGCUAGUAAUGGCGCAUCAUCUACGGCGCCGUGAAUACGUUCCCGGGUCUUGUACACACCGCCCGUCACAUCAUGGAAGCCGGUCGCACCCGAAGUGCCCGUACCAACCGCAAGGGGGUAGGGUCCUAAGGUGUAGCUGGUAACUGGGAUGAAGUCGUAACAAGGUA